CCUACGGGAGGCAGCAGUCGAGAAUUUUUGACAAUGGGGGAAACCCUGAUCGAGCGACGCCGCGUGGAGGAUGAAGGUCCUCGGAUUGUAAACUCCUGUCAUUGGGGAACAAGGUGCAUACGUUAACUGCGUGUGUAUUGAUAGUACCAGAAGAGGAAGAGACGGCUAACUCUGUGCCAGCAGCCGCGGUAAUACAGAGGUCUCAAGCGUUGUUCGGAUUCAUUGGGCGUAAAGGGUGCGUAGGCGGCGCGGUAAGUCGGGUGUGAAAUCUCGGAGCUUAACUCCGAAACUGCAUUCGAUACUGCCGUGCUUGAGGACUGGAGAGGAGACUGGAAUUUACGGUGUAGCGGUGAAAUGCGUAGAUAUCGUAAGGAAGACCAGUGGCGAAGGCGGGUCUCUGGACAGUUCCUGACGCCGAGGCACGAAGGUCAGGGGAGCAAACGGGAUUAGAUACCCCGGUAGUCCUGGCAGUAAACGGUGCACGUUUGGUGUGGGAGGAUUCGACCCCUUCUGCGCCGGAGCUAACGCGUUAAACGUGCCGCCUGGGGAGUACGGUCGCAAGAUUAAAACUCAAAGAAAUUGACGGGGGCCCGCACAAGCGGUGGAGUAUGUGGCUCAAUUCGAUGCAACGCGAAGAACCUUACCAGGCCUUGACAUGCAUCUCUAAGUUGGUGAAAGCCAGCGAGUCCCGAAAGGGACAAUUUGCACAGGUGCUGCAUGGCUGUCGUCAGCUCGUGUCGUGAGAUGUUGGGUUAAGUCCCGCAACGAGCGCAACCCCUGUGAACUGUUGCCACCGAGCCGUGAGGCUCGAGCACUCUGUUCAGACUGCCCCGCUCUAACGGGGAGGAAGGUGGGGACGACGUCAAGUCAGUAUGGCCCUUACGGCCUGGGCUGCACACGUACUACAAUGCCCAGUACAGAACGAUCCGAGACCGCAAGGUGGAGGAAAUCACUAAAACUGGGCCCAGUUCAGAUUGAAGUCCGCAACUCGACUUCAUGAAGCCGGAAUCGCUAGUAAUGGCGUAUCAGCUACGACGCCGUGAAUACAUUCCCGGGCCUUGUACACACCGC
rnacentral:rRNA from 1 species